rnacentral:ncRNA from 1 species
AACAAUGCAAUGAGAAGGAUAAGUACCCGUUAAUUUGGCUAUAGCGAAUCACUGGUUGGUGAAAAGUGAUCAAGAAUUAGUGGUGAAUGGCCCUUUGAGUCGCUGCGUGAAUUAAAAGUAGCGUGGCGGGUAGCCGUGCCUUAAACGUGAGUGGUGCUGGAUAAAAGCCAGCACAAUUUAGGUGGUACCACGAUUGUUAACAAGCGUCCUAUGA